GACGGAAGGUGCAAGCGUUGCUCGGAAUCACUGGGCGUAAAGGGUGCGUAGGCGGCCCGUGCAAGUCUGGCGUGAAAGCCCCCGGGGCUCAGCCCCGGGGAAGUGCGCUCGAAAACUGCGCGGCUCGAGUGCCGGAGGGGAGAGUGGAAUUCCUGGUGUAGCGGUGAAAUGCGUAGAUAUCAGGAGGAAUACCGGUGGCGAAAGCGACUCUCUGGAUCUCUUCUGACGCUGAGGCACGAAAGCUAGGGUAGCGAACGGG
rnacentral:rRNA from 1 species